GUCCCAUGAUGAGGACACUUAUGAAGUAAUUCCUUGAAACUUUCCCAUACCACAUACAAAGACUCGUCAUCCAAUUGUUGGAAAAUAGAUAUUGAACUAUGUGGCA
rfam:Gossypium hirsutum cultivar TM-1 chromosome 2, whole genome shotgun sequence